rnacentral:ncRNA from 1 species
CGGGCGAAGAGAGGCUGCGAACCCCGCCCUGUAAUCCGGGCACCUCGGGUGGGGGGAGCCAGUGGUGCGACCGGCUUUUCGACUU